CUUCAUUCACCUACCGCACGGGUGUUUUGUAUGAUUGUUGUAUCAGGUGACUUUACAACUGUACCCUCGCCAGAGUACAAAGCGGAAACCCUAGCUUCCCACAGGUACAAAUACCCCCUUCCGAUCCACUCCAACUCUCAUUUCCUUCUCUCCUCCGUUUUGUUUCUUCGAUUUCUCUCUGUUGUAUUUCAUCUCUUUGAUCUCUGUCAAUAUAUUUUUUGCUCUUUCUAUUUUCUUUUGUCAGAUCUGUUUCUCUCAGCACUCUUCUUCUGUCAGUUCCUUUGUCUGCUUGAUAGAGGGAAACCCUAAAAUCAUCUCAAGCAGGCCAUAAAAACGAAGAGAUGCAAGAUCGAAAAAGAGAACCUUGGACAUGCGGUUUCCCUUCUCUCCAUGGAUUCUCGCUUUUCUCGUAGGUUCUACAUUCCCCCUCUGUCUCUCUCAUCUUCUGCGUUCUUUGUUUUUUUUCUUUCUCCACGUAUUCUUUUUCAUUUUUUUGGAUCUUUUGGUUUCAAUGUAUUUUUCAUUAUUUUCCUGCUCGAUUUUAUCAUGUAACAUAUCCGUUUUUGGGGGGAAAGGAAGGGUUCUGCUUCUGCCCUAGUGCUUAUCGCGGUAGUCCGCGAGCUACCAAAACCGGUCAUUGUUCCCUUUAUGAUGCUUUAUUAUUAUUAUUAUUAUUUGCACUAGGACUGGCUCGAUGAUGACUAUUUUGCUUUAACCACACUGAAAAGAAUCUGAAGGGUGAUUCUUGUUAUUUGCCAUUUGGUCCAAGCUUCUUAUUCUUGGUGUUUGCCUUGUGAUCCUCCUCCUUAGAGAUUUGAGAUUGCUCCUCCUUUCUACAGAAGCUGGUCUCCUCUUUAAGGAAGAGAAGAAGGCUCUGGCAAGCAUGGAAGUGGGGUCAGAUGUCGGUGACAAGAGCCUCCUGGAUGUUCUAAUGUGGAAGAACCAUGGCCUUAGACUGAGAGCUUGGUUUAUUAGCAUCCAAAUGCCUGUAAGUUUUUUAAGUUGUGACUUAAAGUGUGAAAGUCACUUACUAUCCUGUUUGGAUGUAAGUUGUAAGUCAUUUACUUCUGUGUUUGUGUAACUUAUAAGUUAGUUAGGGCCUGUUUGGAUGCCUGUAAUUUGGAUAAGUGGGAAGUGACUUACAGGGAAGUCACUUACAGGUGGUGUUUGGGGGAGAAAAUUCACCUGUAAGUAACUUACAGGCAAAUCUACCUAAAAACUGCAGGGCGAUGGGGGCCCUAAGCCACUUACAGGCUCAACGGUCAGAUUUUUAAAAAGAAGGGAAGAUGGAGAAACGCACUCUCCCUCUCUGCAAUCUCUCUCUGUCUGCAACGAUCGCCCUCCGUCUCUACAAUCUCUCUCUGUCUGCAACGACCGCCCUCCCUCUCUGCAAUCUCUCUGUGUCUGCAACGACCACCCUCCCUCUCUACUCCUCCCAAACGCCUAAGCUUGAGAUGGAGUGAUGGAUGGAAUGGAUAGCCCGCACAUCAUAGUCGGCCCCAAUGAUAUAUGAUUGCUAUGAUUCUGUUCUGUUGCAUUUAAUGUCGGCAGAGGGGACACAUGGGGCAAUUGCUUGGUGAGUUGUUCGUGAGUUACUGCAGCAUUACUCUUUAAGCAAUACCUCUAAUUUUGUAAUACUGCAUUCUUUAGUGAAAGAUGAAAAUAAUCAUUACAAUUUCUGUAUUCACUCCUUAGUUCCUUGUAUCCAAAAGGAUGAGGGGAGCCUCUAAUUGCAGCUGGGCUAGGUUGAAGUGUGUUCAAGCCUAACAAGUAGUCCAAAGCCCCAGUCCUCGAUAGAAUCGCAUGGUUUUAGUUUGGUUUGAGUCCAGCCCACCAGUAGAAAUGCAUGCUUUCAUUUGUAUUUAGUGGUAGUGAUUUAGGUUUAGGUUGAGUUAUGGUCAGCAGGAUCCUGACCUGUUUGCUAAACGAGCAUAAAUUCUUAGGUUGAACCCGAGUUGGGAGGUAUAGUGAGAUCUGCAGGUCUGCCCUAUGAGUGGACUCUCAUUUGACUUGAUUUAGGGUCAAUGAUCUAGGUAUAUGUUCAAGUAUGCUCAGCUUUAUUAAACAAGUAUAAAAUCCCGACUUAAGCCCAACUCAGUGAGCUGAAGUGAGAUCUAACACAUCUGACAGAGUGGAUUCCAAUUUUUGACCUCAUUCCAACAUUGACUGACAUAGAAAUUGUUUGAAAAGCUUAGACAUGAGGCCUUUUAGGUGCAUUUGGCCAGUCUUUGUCAACUCAGAUCUACUACUUUACUUAAAUGGACCAUUUUCUUGAGUUGAUAUACUUGGCUAUUUAGCAAUUGGCCUUGGUUUUUUAUAACUUGGCUAUUAAAAUGUAAACCUACCUUAACAACAGCUCUGCCUUCU